GACAGAGGGUGCAAACGUUGCUCGGAAUUACUGGGCGUAAAGCGCGUGUAGGCUGACCGGAAAGUCGGGCGUGAAAGCCCUGGGCUCAACCCAGGAACUGCACUCGAAACUCCCGGUCUAGAGUGGUGGAGAGGGAAGUGGAAUUCCUGGUGUAGCGGUGAAAUGCGCAGAUAUCAGGAGGAACACCAGCGGCGAAGGCGGCGCUCUGGGCCGGUACUGACGCUGAGGAGCGAAAGCGUGGGUAGCAAACAGG
rnacentral:rRNA from 1 species